rnacentral:misc_RNA from 1 species
UUCACACCCACUCAAGCGGAUCGCUUUGUCUUAGCUUUUCGAAAUUGGCUGAGGCGACAUGGAAACAGCCAACCUGAGUGGUUUGGCUAUAGUGAUCAACAACCUUUGCCAUCAAUAAUCCUAUCAAAAGGCCAGAUGUUGGAUAGAUUUGAACAGCAUACCCAGAAAUGCUCAUCAUGUAAAAGGGCCUACACUGCAUUCCAAACAUUACAAAAAAUUUUAAUUGGUGCAACUGUGGCUUUCUCUGCUACGGCUGGGAUUCCCUCAGAUCUCCAGUUCAGGGUUUUCUUGGCCGGACUUGCAAUUUUAAGUGCCGGCUUGGCUUACAUCUUGCACCAACUGGGGAGAAAUUUUGUAUAUGUUGAUUAUGUACAUGCUGAAGUUGAAUAAGAAGACACAGGCAAUUAUAGAAGUUAAUCAAUUUUGUAACAUAUCAUGAUAGAAAGAUUUGUACCCAAAAUAGUUCAGAUUGAAAUUACUAAAAUAUGAUAGCUUCAUUUCCAAUUCAGUCAACAUACAUUAGUUACAAAAAGAACUACAUGAAGAUCCCUAACCCAUCAUGGUACUCAGCCUUCACAACCAGAAAGACCAAAUUUUUAUACCCAAAAACAAAAACCAACAACCUAAGAGCUAGUGAACUUAGUAACCGCCUUUGUACCCUCUGAAACGGCGUGCUUGGCAAGCUCACCAGGCAAAACGAGUCUCACAGCAGUCUGAAUCUCCCUAGAAGUAAUGGUAGGCUUCUUGUUAUACCUUGCAAGUCGAGAAGACUCCUGAGCUAGCUUCUCAAAGAUGUCGUUGAUGAAGCUAUUCAUGAUUCCCAUGGCUUUGCUCGAGAUCCCAAUAUCUGGGUGAACCUGUUUCAGGACCUUGAAGAUGUAGAUCUUGUAGGUCUCCACGCUCUUCUUUGUGCGCUUCUUCUUCUUGUCACUGGCGCCGCUUUCCUUUGGCAACUUCUUCUCUGCCCUAGGCUUCUUCUCCGCUGGUGCCUUCUCGGCCUUCUUCUCCUCCGCCGGUUUCUUCUCCGCUGGUUUCUUCUCUGCUGCCUUCGGUGCCAUCUGAGAAUGCAAAGAGAUCAA